rnacentral:rRNA from 1 species
UACGUAUGGGGCAAGCGUUAUCCGGAAUUACUGGGUGUAAAGGGAGCGUAGGCGGUACGGCAAGUCAGAAGUGAAAGCCUGGGGCUCAACCCCGGAAUUGCUUAUGAAACUGUCGGACUAGAGUGUCGGAGGGGUAAGCGGAAUUCCUAGUGUAGCGGUGAAAUGCGUAGAUAUUAGGAGGAACACCGGUGGCGAAGGCGGCUUACUGGACGACCACUGACGCUGAGGCUCGAAAGCGUGGGGAGCAAACAGG